rnacentral:rRNA from 1 species
CCCUUAGAUGUCCUGGACCGCACGCGCGCUACACUGAUGCAUGCAACGAGUUUAUAACCUUGGCCUGAAAGGUCUGGGUAAUCUUUUGAACGUGCAUCGUGAUAGGGAUAGAUUAUUGCAAUUGUUAAUCUUGAACGAGGAAUUCCUAGUAAACGCGAGUCAUCAGCUCGCAUUGAUUACGUCCCUGCCCUUUGUACACACCGCCCGUCGCACCUACCGAUUGAAUGGUUCGGUGAAGAUCUCGGACUUCGAUAUUUAUUCUUUAUUGAGUUUAUAUUGUGGGAAGUUAUCUAAACCUCAUCAUUUAGAGGAAGGUGAAGUCGUAACA